UUACUUGAGAGUUUGAUCCUGGCUCAGGACGAACGCUGGCGGCGUGCUUAACACAUGCAAGUCGAACGAUGAAGCUGAUGCUUGCAUUGGUGGAUUAGUGGCGAACGGGUGAGUAACACGUGAGUAACCUGCCCUCUACUUUGGGAUAACUCCGGGAAACCGGUGCUAAUACUGGAUAUGACUCUGGCCUGCAUGGGUUGGGGUGGAAAGAUUUAUCGGUAGGGGAUGGACUCGCGGCCUAUCAGCUUGUUGGUGGGGUAAUGGCCUACCAAGGCGACGACGGGUAG
rnacentral:rRNA from 1 species